rnacentral:rRNA from 1 species
AAGCAGCUUGCUGCUUUGCUGACGAGUGGCGGACGGGUGAGUAAUGUCUGGGAAACUGCCUGGUGGAGGGGGAUAACUACUGGAAGCGGUAGCUAAUACCGCAUAACGUCGCAAGACCAAAGAGGGGGACCUUCGGGCCUCUUGCCAUCGGAUGUGCCCAGAUGGGAUUAGCUAGUAGGUGGGGUAACGGCUCACCUAGGCGACGAUCCCUAGCUGGUCUGAGAGGAUGACCAGCCACACUGGAACUGAGACACGGUCCAGACUCCUACGGGAGGCAGCAGUGGGGAAUAUUGCACAAUGGGCGCAAGCCUGAUGCAGCCAUGCCGCGUGUAUGAAGAAGGCCUUCGGGUUGUAAAGUACUUUCAGCGGGGAGGAAGGGAGUAAAGUUAAUACCUUUGCUCAUUGACGUUACCCGCAGAAGAAGCACCGGCUAACUCCGUGCCAGCAGCCGCGGUAAUACGGAGGGUGCAAGCGUUAAUCGGAAUUACUGGGCGUAAAGCGCACGCAGGCGGUUUGUUAAGUCAGUAUGUGAUAUCCCCGGGCUCAACCUGGGAACUGCAUCUGAUACUGGCAAGCUUGAGUCUCGUAGAGGGGGGUAGUAUUCCAGGUGUAGCGGUGAUAUGCGUAGAGAUCUGGAGGAAUACCGGUGGCGA